AACUCUCGGUAAUGGAUAUCUCGGCUCUCACCAUGAUGAAGAGUGUAGCAAAAUGCGAUACUUAGUGUGAAUUGCAGAAUCCUUUGAAUCAUUGAGUCUUUGAAUGCAAGUUGCACCCGAGGCCUCGACUGAGGGCACAUCUACUUUGGCAUCA